GACGAACGCUGGCGGCGUGCUUAACACAUGCAAGUCGAGCGAGGCCUGGGGGGCAACUCCCAGAGUCGAGCGGCGGACGGGUGAGUAACACGUGGGUAACCUGCCCGGAAGUGGGGAAUACCUCGGGGAAACUCGAGCUAAUACCGCAUGACAUCUCCGGGACGAAAGUCCUGGCGAUCAAAGCGGGGUCGCAAGAUCUCGCGCUACCGGAUGGGCCCGCGCCCGAUUAGCUAGUUGGGAGGUACGGCUCACC
rnacentral:rRNA from 1 species